UCUAAACUUGAUGUUGUGCAGUGUCCGCUUUUAGUUCCGUCGGGCGGUUGAGAAGACAAAAUGAAGGUGAUAGGCCAAAGCUGUGCGCUAUUAUUGUGGAUGCAUACUUUGACCUUUGUGAAAUGUCAAGAUUGUACAUUUGAAGCAUUUCGGAACAGUCCACUGUUCGAUGCCAGUUUUGACACGACGGGUAUGGAAGACAAGUACCAAAAUAAGCAGCAAGUGAAGCAAUCCGGUGCCCCGUCAUCAACGUGGAAGACAAUGUGGAGGUGAUCGGGGUCCCAGAAGAAGCAAACUUUGGCAAUGUGCUCCUAUUUAGAUGCAAGAACAGCCAUGAAUUCAUGAUUGGUUCCUCUGAGAUGUCCUGUGAUGGAAAUGGAGAGUGGAGCAGCCCGCCUCCAAAAUGUGAAGGUGCGGGUCGGUUCAUUUUCGGGAGGGAGAUCCGGAAAAAUGUUUCCGCAGUGUGAUGAGAGUCCAUGAAUACAAAGAACUUGUCUUAUGAAUGUCAUCAAAACUACAAGCGCGCUGAACCGAGACAAGAAAGAAAUCUCCAUGAGCAGUGUAUGCUCAUGCAAAAAAAGUUCUUAGUCAUGAAAGCAAACCGUGCAUACACGUGAUACUGACUAAAAAAAUCUGUAAGUGUCUUCAAUUGAUCGCCAUCCCGCUCAAAGUUAAUGUUUGUGCCAAGCUGAGAGAAAAUGAAAGGGCCUUUUAAUUGAGACUGUGCUGACGGGUCCAAAGCAGAACGCAGAUGCAUUCCUCCAACAUUAAUUCUCAUUAGGAUGCACUCCUGUGAAUAUAAAAAAAAAAGUUGUAUCCAUCCAUUUUGGAUGCUGCCUUCUUUCAUCACUUGGUUAGCUAAAUGGUUAAAUGGUUUCUUUUCACAAACUCUUGUGUUGUGUAGCUGCAUCACACAUUCUCCAUCGAUGAAUGUUAUCAUUGCCAUCACUGGUGUAAACUGUCUGUAGGCCUCCAUUUUUUGCAUGCGUCUUGGACGGAAGCUCCUAAGGGAUAAGGAAGCGUGCGAUUUCAAUCUGACAGUUAUUUUUCAGUGACCUCUCAGCUGCACUCAUUUGUCCAUAUCAGCAUCCAGUGAGAAAUGAAAGUACAACGUAUGAGCACCUCAAUGGCUGCCUUGCAAAGAUCGUCAUCAUUGAAGGUCAUCUUAAUUUGGAAUGAAAAGAAGUCCAGCACAAUAAAAAAAAACAUGUUUGUCAUUUUCUUCCCCACAUACUGACUCGCGUGUUCCGGCAGCAGCGGCGGACUGAGUAAUAGUUUGGGCAAUAUUAGUUUAUUCAGUGACACAUGCAGUCCAAACAUGC